UACAGAGGGUGCGAGCGUUAAUCGGAAUUACUGGGCGUAAAGCGUGCGCAGGCGGUUCUGGAAGUCAGCUGUGAAAGCCCCGGGCUUAACCUGGGAAUUGCGGUUGAAACUACAGGGCUAGAAUCUGGCAGAGGGGGGUGGAAUUCCACGUGUAGCAGUGAAAUGCGUAGAGAUGUGGAGGAACACCGAUGGCGAAGGCAGCCCCCUGGGCUGAGAUUGACGCUCAGGCACGAAAGCGUGGGGAGCAAACAGG
rnacentral:rRNA from 1 species